CAGAGUUGCUAGCAUCUGAGAUAUAAUUAAUUCAUUCAUUAUGUAAUUAGUUAAUAUCAGAAAAUUCUGAGGCUCAGUGAUGUCACUAAGGAAGUGCCAUGUGGGGAUAAGGGCAGUCCCUCCUCCUCUGCUCAUGCUCACAAGGACCCUGAUCUGGGGAACCUCCCAUUUCUGUCCUGACCCUGCCAUGGGCACCAGGCUCCUCUGCUGGGUGACCCUCUGUCUCCUGGGGGCAGGUCACACAGAUGCUGGAGUGUUCCAGUCCCCCAGGCACAGAGUCACAAGAAGGGGACAGAAUGUCACUCUCAGGUGUGAUCCAAUUUCUGGACACCGGGUCCUUUAUUACUACCAACAGACACUGGGGCAGGGCCCAGAGUUUUAUAUAUUUAUUUUCAAGGCAAGGAAGCCACAGACAAAUCAGGGAUGCCUAAAGAGCGGUUCUCUGCUUCUGCUGAGAGGUCUGAUGGCUCCUACUCCACUCUGGAGAUCCAGCGUGCAGAGCAGCAGGACUCGGCCAUGUACCUCUGUGCCAGCAGCUUAACCACAGCAUGGCACAGUCACCCUCCUCCUGCUCUCAAACCCUCAUGUGCUCACCUCUCCUCACAGUUCCCAAAGUCCUUAACAAAGGAGUGGAUUAAGUGCAUUGGGACUUUAAUUGUUGUUCUGAUAGUGGGGGGUCAGGAAAUGACCUUCAAAAUACCAGAACAGGUCACCUUGGGUAGUGACAUUUUGCCUAGUUUUCUAGGAUUCCUUAUACAGAUCAAGAUUCUAUAA